UACGGAGGAUCCGAGCGUUAUCCGGAUUUAUUGGGUUUAAAGGGUGCGUAGGUGGUUUGAUAAGUCAGCGGUGAAAGUUUGCAGCUUAACUGUAAAAAUGCCGUUGAAACUGUCGGACUUGAGUGUAAAUGAGGUAGGCGGAAUUCGUGGUGUAGCGGUGAAAUGCUUAGAUAUCACGAAGAACUCCAAUUGCGAAGGCAGCUUACCGGGGUACAACUGACACUGAAGCACGAAAGCGUGGGGAUCAAAC
rnacentral:rRNA from 1 species